rnacentral:rRNA from 1 species
UGGAAGGGCCAUCGCUCAACGGAUAAAAGGUACUCUGGGGAUAACAGGCUGAUACCGCCCAAGAGUUCAUAUCGACGGCGGUGUUUGGCACCUCGAUGUCGGCUCAUCUCAUCCUGGGGCUGUAGCCGGUCCCAAGGGUAUGGCUGUUCGCCAUUUAAAGAGGUACGUGAGCUGGGUUUAAAACGUCGUGAGACAGUUUGGUCCCUAUCUGCCGUGGGCGUUGGAUAUUUGAAGGGGGCUGCUCCUAGUACGAGAGGACCGGAGUGGACGAACCUCUGGUGUACCGGUUGUGACGCCAGUCGCAUCGCCGGGUAGCUAUGUUCGGAAGAGAUAACCGCUGAAAGCAUCUAAGCGGGAAACUCGCCUUAAGAUGAGAUAUCCCUGGAGGCUUGACCUCCUUGAAGGGUCGUUCGAGACCAGGACGUUGAUAGGUCGGGUGUGUAAGCGCAGUAAUGCGUUCAGCUAACCGAUACUAAUUGCCCGUAAGGCUUGAUCCUAUAACA